rnacentral:lncRNA from 1 species
UGGAUUUUUAAUGACAGGAGGAAACCCCAAAUAUGGUGAAUAUGGAGUUAAGUUGGUGGCCAGUCAAGAAGGUGGGGACAGUGAGAAUGCAGAGGGAAGAAGGUACCAAAACCCAGAAGUGGUCCAGAGAGAACACAGAGAUCAGAGCUUCCUUUUCAUCAUCUGCAUGGCAGUGACAAGAGGUCAUGAACCUAUCCUCCCAUUACCAAUGGGGACUGAACAUGGAUGCAUCAAAGGGGAUCAAUAGAAGCCAGAAUAAGCA